GAUGAACGCUGGCGGCGUGCCUAAUACAUGCAAGUCGAGCGAACGGACGAGAAGCUUGCUUCUCUGAUGUUAGCGGCGGACGGGUGAGUAACACGUGGAUAACCUACCUAUAAGACUGGGAUAACUUCGGGAAACCGGAGCUAAUACCGGAUAAUAUUUUGAACCGCAUGGUUCAAAAGUGAAAGACGGUCUUGCUGUCACUUAUAGAUGGAUCCGCGCUGCAUUAGCUAGUUGGUAAGGUAACGGCUUACCAAGGCAACGAUGCAUAGCCGACCUGAGAGGGUGAUCGGCCACACUGGAACUGAGACACGGUCCAGACUCCUACGGGAGGCAGCAGUAGGGAAUCUUCCGCAAUGGGCGAAAGACUGACGGAGCAACGCAGCGUGAGUGAUGAAGGUCUUCGGAUCGUAAAACUCUGUUAUUAGGGAAGAACAUAUGUGUAAGUAACUGUGCACAUCUUGACGGUACCUAAUCAGAAAGCCACGGCUAACUACGUG
rnacentral:rRNA from 1 species